rnacentral:sRNA from 1 species
UGCAGGUGUUGCCAGCAGCUCAGCCAGUGCUGUGGGGCCUCCCGCCCCGCCCCCAUGGCCCCUCCCACUGGUCAGGUCGAGGGCCAGGCCUCAGAGCGGCCCCUGUGUCCACGCAGGUGUUUGGUCUUGGGAACAAGACCUACGAGCACUUCAAUGCCAUGGGCAAGUACGUGGACAAGCGGCUGGAGCAGCUCGGCGCCCAGCGCAUCUUUGAGCUGGGGUUGGGCGACGACGAUGGGAACUUGGAGGAGGACUUCAUCACCUGGCGAGAGCAGUUCUGGCCGGCCGUGUGUGAACACUUUGGGGUGGAAGCCACUGGCGAGGAGUCCAGCAUUCGCCAGUACGAGCUUGUGGUCCACACCGACAUAGACGCGGCCAAGGUGUACAUGGGGGAGAUGGGCCGGCUGAAGAGCUACGAGAACCAGAAGCCCCCCUUUGAUGCCAAGAAUCCGUUCCUGGCUGCAGUCACCACCAACCGGAAGCUGAACCAGGGAACCGAGCGCCACCUCAUGCACCUGGAAUUGGACAUCUCAGACUCCAAAAUCAGGUAUGAAUCUGGGGACCACGUGGCUGUGUACCCAGCCAACGACUCUGCUCUCGUCA